rnacentral:rRNA from 1 species
GAUGAACGCUGGCGGCGUGCCUAAUACAUGCAAGUCGAGCGAACGGACGAGAAGCUUGCUUCUCUGAUGUUAGCGGCGGACGGGUGAGUAACACGUGGAUAACCUACCUAUAAGACUGGGAUAACUUCGGGAAACCGGAGCUAAUACCGGAUAAUAUUUUGAACCGCAUGGUUCAAAAGUGAAAGACGGUCUUGCUGUCACUUAUAGAUGGAUCCGCGCUGCAUUAGCUAGUUGGUAAGGUAACGGCUUACCAAGGCAACGAUGCAUAGCCGACCUGAGAGGGUGAUCGGCCACACUGGAACUGAGACACGGUCCAGACUCCUACGGGAGGCAGCAGUAGGGAAUCUUCCGCAAUGGGCGAAAGCCUGACGGAGCAACGCCGCGUGAGUGAUGAAGGUCUUCGGAUCGUAAAACUCUGUUAUUAGGGAAGAACAUAUGUGUAAGUAACUGUGCACAUCUUGACGGUACCUAAUCAGAAAGCCACGGCUAACUACGUGCCAGCAGCCGCGGUAAUACGUAGGUGGCAAGCGUUAUCCGGAAUUAUUGGGCGUAAAGCGCGCGUAGGCGGUUUUUUAAGUCUGAUGUGAAAGCCCACGGCUCAACCGUGGAGGGUCAUUGGAAACUGGAAAACUUGAGUGCAGAAGAGGAAAGUGGAAUUCCAUGUGUAGCGGUGAAAUGCGCAGAGAUAUGGAGGAACACCAGUGGCGAAGGCGACUUUCUGGUCUGUAACUGACGCUGAUGUGCGAAAGCGUGGGGAUCAAACAGGAUUAGAUACCCUGGUAGUCCACGCCGUAAACGAUGAGUGCUAAGUGUUAGGGGGUUUCCGCCCCUUAGUGCUGCAGCUAACGCAUUAAGCACUCCGCCUGGGGAGUACGACCGCAAGGUUGAAACUCAAAGGAAUUGACGGGGACCCGCACAAGCGGUGGAGCAUGUGGUUUAAUUCGAAGCAACGCGAAGAACCUUACCAAAUCUUGACAUCCUUUGACAACUCUAGAGAUAGAGCUUUCCCCUUCGGGGGACAAAGUGACAGGUGGUGCAUGGUUGUCGUCAGCUCGUGUCGUGAGAUGUUGGGUUAAGUCCCGCAACGAGCGCAACCCUUAAGCUUAGUUGCCAUCAUUAAGUUGGGCACUCUAAGUUGACUGCCGGUGACAAACCGGAGGAAGGUGGGGAUGACGUCAAAUCAUCAUGCCCCUUAUGAUUUGGGCUACACACGUGCUACAAUGGACAAUACAAAGGGCAGCGAAACCGCGAGGUCAAGCAAAUCCCAUAAAGUUGUUCUCAGUUCGGAUUGUAGUCUACAACUCGACUACAUGAAGCUGGAAUCGCUAGUAAUCGUAGAUCAGCAUGCUACGGUGAAUACGUUCCCGGGUCU